AUAACUUCGUUAAAUUUCUCAUACCAAUAUUUAGGAGAUUUCUUUAAUCCGUAUAGUGACUUAUUUAGUUUUAAUACAUGACCAUCUGGUAUAUUUAAUCCCUGAGGGGGCUUUAAGUAUACAUCUUCAUCUAUCCUACCAUAAAGAAAAGCUCCUUUGACAUCCAUUUGAUGAAUAUUAUAGUCUCUGUGUGCUGCUACUGACAACAACACUCUCAAUGUUUGCAGUUUCAAAACCGGUGAUUUUUUUCUUUCUUCGGGUGCUUCAUCUUUUUCUUCUACAUCUUGGUAAGGAUCGAAGAGUAUGUAACCUGCUGGAGCAUAUCCAAUCAUAAUCAUCUUACGUCCAGUGUUAUCAAGCUUCUGUCUGCACUCUUUUGGUACAUAAUUAUAUGCUAAACUUCCAAAUACUCUCAUGUUUGACACAUUCGGUUUUCUUCCUUCCCAGAGUUCACUUGCAGUAUGGUACCUGUCUGCUGAUGGACUUCGGUUACUAACAUAUGCUGAGUACAAUACAGCAUCUCCCCAAAACUCUUUUCCUAAAGUUGAAUCUAAUAAAAUUGUUCUGGUCUUUUCCAACAACGUUCUAUUCAUUCUCUCUGCUACCCCAUUCAUUUCUGGAUUAUAUGGGACCGUGUACUCCAAUUUAAUUCCUUUGUAAUAACAAAAAUCUUGAAAUUCUUUAUUUACAUAUUCCUUACCGUUAUCUGAUCUAAGUUUUAAGAUGUUCCUAUUAAAAUGGUUUGUAACAUAAUAA